UUCCUCUAGAGAUUCCUACGGGAGGCAGCAGUGGGGAAUAUUGCACAAUGGAGGAAACUCUGAUGCAGCCAUGCCGCGUGUGUGAAGAAGGCUUUCGGGUUGUAAAGCACUUUCAGCGAGGAGGAAAGGGCGUAGAUUAAUACUCUGCGCCUGUGACGUUACUCGCAGAAGAAGCACCGGCUAACUCCGUGCCAGCAGCCGCGGUAAUAAUCGU
rnacentral:rRNA from 1 species